CCCUUAGACGUUCUGGGCCGCACGCGCGCUACACUGGCCGGUGCAACAAGCAUCCGUCCUUGGCCGACAGGCCCGGGCAAUCUUUGAACGCCGGUCGUGAUGGGGAUAGACUUUUGCAAUUUUUGGUCUUCAACGAGGAAUUCCUAGUAAACGCAAGUCAUCAACUUGCAUUGAUUACGUCCCUGCUCUUUGUACACACCGCCCGUCGCACCUACCGAUUGAAUGGUCCGGUGAAGCCUCCGGAUUGGCGCGCACCUCGGUGCCGCCGAGAAGUUGGCUAAACCUUACCAUUUAGAGGAAGGUGAAGUCGUAACA
rnacentral:rRNA from 1 species